rnacentral:lncRNA from 1 species
UUUUUUUUUUUUUUUUUUUUUUGCUAUGGAACUUGGUGAAAUAGUGACUCACUUUUAUUGGCGUGUGCAUGUGUACUAAAGAUGAAAAUGAUGAACAACAAUUUGAGUUUGUAUAGAACUUCCUUUCUGGAACCUUUAUUUUUGGCAGGUAUGUGGAAGGGGUGGGGGAAAUAUACGAUACCAAACACAAUUUUGGCAAAGGAACAACAACCCUAAUCAUAAAUUUUUAGGCAUUUCGGUGAUUUUUGAUAUGAAUAUAUAAAAACAUGUUACCUAAGCUAAUGUUCAGAUGUGUACACAUUGCUUUUUACUUAACUAGAAGAUUUUAACUUUUUUCUUUGUUUAUAUUUCACGUAUAUCAGUAAAGCCUCAAAAUGACUUACAAAAUUAAUAAGAAAGGUUUUAAAAAAAUUACUGGUAAGGGGGCUAGAGAGAAGCCACUCAGAUAUUGUGUGUGUGUUUGGCUGGUGCCAUCUUUUGUUAGGGAAACUUGGCAAACUACAAAACCUUAAGAGUCUGCAUUCUAUCUGACCUAGCAAUUCCACUUUUAGGAAUUUAUCUUACUGAUAUAAUCAAGGGUGAGGCCAAAUAUUUAGAUAUAUUCACUGUGUUUAGCUAUGUUGCACAAUUGUUUAUAACGGUAAAGAAUUGAAAACAAUUUAAACAUUCAACAGGGGGAAAUUGGUUAAAUGACAGCAUAUCCGUUUUGUGUAUACCAUGCAAUUGUUUAAAAUGAUGUUGCAGAAUAGUAUAUGAUUCUAUUAAAGAUGUUCAAUAGAUGCUGUUAAAUUCGGAGAGAUGAAUGACAAAUAUUAUGUGUAGAAUAAACCGCUUUUUUUUCUUUUUCUUUUUCUUUUUUUUUUUUUUUUGAGAUAGAGUUUCGCUCUUGUUGCCCAGGCUGGAGUGCAAUGGUGUGAUCUCGGUUCACCGCUACCUCCACCUCCCGGGUUCAAGUGAUUCUCUUGCCUCAGCCUCCUGAGUAGCUGGGAUUACAGGCAUGAGCCACCAUGCCCAGCUAAUUUUGUAUUUUUAGUAGAGAUGGGGUUUCUGCCAUGUUGGCCAGGCUGGUCUCAAACUCCCAACCUCAGGUGAUUCACCCGCCUUGGCCUCCCAAAGUGCUGGGAUUACAGGCGUGAGCCACCAUGCCUGGUCGAAUAAGCCACUUUUAAAAAUGUAUAUAUAUGCAUUAGGAAAUGGCAAACUAUCAAGAACUAAAUGUGGUCAGUGAAAAGGACAGAUCAUUUCACUUUCUUCUUUUCUCUUAUAUGUAUUUAACACAUUUCAUAUCGCAGAUAUAUUUUACAUUUGUGAAGAGAAAAACAAGUUGCUUUUUAUUUUUUUUAAGUAGGAAAGGAAAUGAGUACAAUGGGAAAAAUGAUAUAAGAAAGUUAAAAAUGAAUCUUGAGGUUACUUCUAAAAAUGCAAGCAAUAAGAUUCUGUACAGAUGGGCCACACAUUUUGCGCUAGGCUUUCGAGAGCCAACAGAAAGAGGGAAACAGAAUCAAUGACAGUAUUUACAGUAUCUGUGAUAAGAAUAAUCUGUUAAUCAACAACUUGAAAGUAAAUACAAUGGCAGAUUUCACUGGAGUUUUACCUACAUGUAGGCUGAAAAUAAAAUGCUGAAGGUCAAUAGAAAGUUAAAUACUAGUUUACCUUUAUAAAAAGGUAGCCAUAAAGUCUGGAAACACAGACAAUGUUAUUUUAUUUUUUACAGACUUAAGUAAAUUAUAUUAUAGUAUAUAUUGAUUUUACACAUUGAACUCCCUGAUU